UACGAAGGGGGCUAGCGUUGUUCGGAAUUACUGGGCGUAAAGCGCGCGCAGGCGGUCUUCCAAGUCAGUGGUGAAAGCCCGGAGCUCAACUCCGGAACUGCCAUUGAAACUGUAAGACUUGAGGAUGAGAGAGGUGAGUGGAAUUCCCAGUGUAGAGGUGAAAUUCGUAGAUAUUGGGAAGAACACCGGUGGCGAAGGCGGCGACCUGGUCCGAUACUGACGCUGAGGCGCGAAAGCGUGGGGAGCAAACAGG
rnacentral:rRNA from 1 species